rnacentral:tRNA from 1 species
GAGGGUAUAGCUCAGUGGUAGAGUGCAUUCUUAGCAUGCACGAGGUCCUGGGUUCAAUCCUCAGUGCCUCCA